UAGGGGUGUAGUUUAACGGUAGAACAGCGGUCUCCAAAACCGUUAGCGUGGGUUCGAUUCCUGCCACCCCUGCCAU
rnacentral:tRNA from 1 species